rnacentral:tRNA from 1 species
AAUUAAUGAACUUGAACAAGUUUAUGUUUUGAAAACAUAAUAAAGAAGUUAAGCUUCUAUUAAUUU